UGCCUCUGUGUUGCCCUCUCAAUGUUUUCUUCAUGAUGAGGGUGUCGACUGAGGCAUACAGUGACUCUUGUGGUUGUGACAGAAAUUCAUCAUGAUUGAUCUAUUUCUACACAGUCGGCUACAAGCACAACU
rnacentral:snoRNA from 1 species